UACGUAGGGGGCGAGCGUUGUCCGGAAUUAUUGGGCGUAAAGAGCUCGUAGGCGGCUUAGUAAGUCGGCGGUGAAAUACCGAGGCUCAACCUCGGCACUGCCGUCGAUACUGCUAUGGCUAGAGUUUGGUAGAGGAGAACGGAAUUCCCGGUGUAGCGGUGGAAUGCGCAGAUAUCGGGAGGGACACCCGUAGCGAAGGCGGUUCUCUGGGCCAAUACUGACGCUGAGGAGCGAAAGCGCGGGGAGCAAACAGG
rnacentral:rRNA from 1 species